CCUACGGGAGGCAGCAGUGAGGAAUAUUGGUCAAUGGACGAGAGUCUGAACCAGCCAAGUAGCGUGAAGGAUGACUGACCUAUGGGUUGUAAACUUCUUUUAUAUGGGAAUAAAAUGUUCCACGUGUGGGAUUUUGUAUGUACCAUAUGAAUAAGGAUCGGCUAACUCCGUGCCAGCAGCCGCGGUAAUACGGAGGAUCCGAGCGUUAUCCGGAUUUAUUGGGUUUCAAGGGAGCGUAGGUGGAUUGUUAAGUCAGUUGUGAAAGUUUGCGGCUCAACCGUAAAAGUGCAGUUGAAACUGGCAGUCUUGAGUACAGUAGAGGUGGGCGGAAUUCGUGGUGUAGCGGUGAAAUGCUUAGAGAUCACGAAGAACUCCGAUUGCGAAGGCAGUUCACUGGACUGCAACUGACACUGAGGCUCGAAAGUGUGGGUAUCAAACAGGAUUAGAUACCCUUGUAGUC
rnacentral:rRNA from 1 species